UUGGAAACCCAUUUCUUGUAUGCAGAUAUGUAUUUAGGAUGCAAAACAAAAAAUGAAGACAGACGCACAAUACAGGACUUUCAUGAACUAACAUUUUUACCACUGAUAAGUCUGGAAAGGAGGCCAGGGAAUGAUUUAUGGAGAGCUUCUUAUGCUAUGCUAAAGAGAUUGGUCUUAAACCUGUAAGUAUUGGGAAGACAUGAAGGAUUAGAGGGGAAGAAAGGGAAUAUUUGCAUUUUGGAUGGAUAACUACUCAGUCUACAGUAUGGAAGACAAGAAAGAGGAGAAGACCAAAGCAGGGAAACCUGUGUGGCAGACUCCUGCAAUGAUUCAGAAGAGGUACCUACUCUUUAGUCUAUGCUCGAUUUCUCUAACACCCUUGUGAAAGAGAAUUUAAAUGAAUGGUGUACCUGCUUUCCAUGCACAGGAGUGUUUGUGUUUUCAGUAGAGGAAAAAAAUCACAUCAUGGCUAACCAUAAAAUUAAAGGCAGAUGAGAAAGGCAAUGUGAGCAAAGCCUGGUGGAGAUGCUUUCCAGGAGAUGAAGACUGGAUGUAAAUAUAUACAAAUAUAUAGCUACAGCACAUGCAAUGAUACAAAAAUGUUAGGCCUGGAGAACCGACUCAUUAAUUUUAAAAGGCAACAUUAAGUAUCUAUCCACACCAUUAUAGAAGAUGAUCUCUUAUAUGAUGAUACUUGAAGCAACCCACUCUCAAGAACACCUCUCUGCAUCUCUACCCUGGCCUCUGAAUGCACCAAAAAUGUCACCAUUGAAGUUUGUUUCAGUUAUUCAUCUAUCAAGCAUUCAUUGAGUAUUUCAUGAACCACAUAUAAAGAAAUAAGGAGGAGCUACUACUCUACUCCCUAAAUUCUACUGUGGGACUCAGUCUGAUGGAGCAAGCCAAAUCUGUGACAAUGGUGUCUUCAUACAGAAUAUAGAGUCAGUAUGCACUGACUCUUGAAGCCUCUUUGUGAAAGGGCACAUGUUAUUUCUCCUCACAUUUCAUUGCCAAAGCAAGGCUUACAACCAAGUUUGCCAUCAGUAGGGCAAGUAAGUAUUUUAGAAUAAGCAGGGAACAUUUUAAACACUAAUACAAUCUUCCACAUCUAACUAUUUAUUUUUAAUGGCUGAAAAGUAUCCCAUAGUAUGAAUAUACUCUAAUUUAUUUAAUUAUUUUCCUGUUGAUGAAUAUUUCAGUUGUCUCUGGUGUUUCACCAUUACAAAAUAUCAGGGCUGAAUGUGUAUCAAUAGCUACAUUACACUUAUCAACAUAUUAUUUUUAACAUUACCAUUUAAUAAAUACAAAGUAUAGAUUUUUUCAGAUCUGCCAGUCUUGUGGUCAUGCUAUUUAGCCUUUUUGUUACAUUUUUUAUUUUUCAUAUUUUUGUAAAUAGCUUCAUUAUUUCAAAAAUACCUGACAAAAGCUUUUCUAAAAUAUUCAUCAUUUCAGUGGUGAGUCAGGGUACAGAGCCACCUUUAUCUUUGGUCAUUGGAAAAUAAACAUUUCUAUGUGUAGCAAGGGCUAUCCUACCAUGGAGAAAGGAGGUCUUCCAUGCUUUGCCACUGCUGUGCUCCACACCAUUUUACGUCUUUUCUCCUUCCAGACCCAGUUUCCACAAGAAAUAAAUUCUUUAUAAGCUUUGUUACUACAUUUUGUCUAAUAGCUGAGUUCUGAUCAACUCUGGGAUAUUUCCUUUUCUUCCAUGUCCAUCCUAAAUACUAACUCAGAGCUGAUGCUUCCUUUUUGAAUGGAAUAAUGUCAUUUGUUCCAACUCACAGAACAAAAUAUAAAAUCUGUGUAACAUGUGUAUCAAUACAGAGAUUAGUUAUACAUAUUUUUAAGCCGACAUAUUUACUUGUGACUCUGUUUAAAUUUGAUUAACAAUAAUUGUCUAAGCAAUCUGAUGUAAUCACAGCUAGCAUAUAG
rnacentral:lncRNA from 1 species